rnacentral:rRNA from 1 species
GACGGAGGAUGCAAGUGUUAUCCGGAAUCACUGGGCGUAAAGCGUCUGUAGGUGGUUCGAAAAGUCCACUGUUAAAAAUUGAGGCUUAACUUCAAAGAUGCCGUGGAAACUUUCAAACUAGAGUAUGGUAGGGGUAGAGGGAAUUUCCAGUGGAGCGGUGAAAUGCGUAGAUAUUGGAAAGACCACCGAUGGCGAAGGCACUCUACUGAGCCAUUACUGACACUGAGAGACGAAAGCUAGGGGAGCAAAUGGG